rnacentral:rRNA from 1 species
GACGAACGCUGGCGGCGUGCCUAAUACAUGCAAGUUGAGCGCUGAAGGUUGGUACUUGUACCAACUGGAUGAGCAGCGAACGGGUGAGUAACGCGUGGGGAAUCUGCCUUUGAGCGGGGGACAACAUUUGGAGACGAAUGCUAAUACCGCAUAAAAACUUUAAACACAAGUUUUAAGUUUGAAAGAUGCAAUUGCAUCACUCAAAGAUGAUCCCGCGUUGUAUUAGCUAGUUGGUGAGGUAAAGGCUCACCAAGGCGAUGAUACAUAGCCGACCUGAGAGGGUGAUCGGCCACAUUGGGACUGAGACACGGCCCAAACUCCUACGGGAGGCAGCAGUAGGGAAUCUUCGGCAAUAGACGAAAGUCUGACCGAGCAACGCCGCGUGAGUGAAGAAGGUUUUCGGAUCGUAAAACUCUGUUGGUAGAGAAGAACGUUGGUGAGAGUGGAAAGCUCAUCAAGUGACGGUAACUACCCAGAAAGGGACGGCUAACUACGUG